GUCGAGCGCAGGAAGCAAGUUGAUCCCCUUCGGGGGUGACGCUUGUGGAAUGAGCGGCGGACGGGUGAGUAACACGUGGGCAACCUGCCUGUAAGACUGGGAUAACCCCGGGAAACCGGGGCUAAUACCGGAUAAUACUUUCUUUUGCAUAAAGGAAAGUUGAAAGGCGGCUUCGGCUGUCACUUACAGAUGGGCCCGCGGCGCAUUAGCUAGUUGGUGAGGUAACGGCUCACCAAGGCGACGAUGCGUAGCCGACCUGAGAGGGUGAUCGGCCACACUGGGACUGAGACACGGCCCAGACUCCUACGGGAGGCAGCAGUAGGGAAUCUUCCGCAAUGGACGAAAGUCUGACGGAGCAACGCCGCGUGAGUGAUGAAGGUUUUCGGAUCGUAAAACUCUGUUGUUAGGGAAGAACAAGUUGGGUAGUAACUGACCCAACCUUGACGGUACCUAACCAGAAAGCCACGGCUAACUACGUGCCAGCAGCCGCGGUAAUACGUAGGUGGCAAGCGUUGUCCGGAAUUAUUGGGCGUAAAGCGCUCGCAGGCGGUCCUUUAAGUCUGAUGUGAAAUCUCGCGGCUCAACCGCGAACGGUCAUUGGAAACUGGAGGACUUGAGUACAGAAGAGGAGAGUGGAAUUCCACGUGUAGCGGUGAAAUGCGUAGAGAUGUGGAGGAACACCAGUGGCGAAGGCGACUCUCUGGUCUGUAACUGACGCUGAGGAGCGAAAGCGUGGGGAGCGAACAGGAUUAGAUACCCUGGUAGUCCACGCCGUAAACGAUGAGUGCUAGGUGUUAGGGGGUUUCCGCCCCUUAGUGCUGAAGUUAACGCAUUAAGCACUCCGCCUGGGGAGUACGGCCGCAAGGCUGAAACUCAAAAGAAUUGACGGGGGCCCGCACAAGCGGUGGAGCAUGUGGUUUAAUUCGAAGCAACGCGAAGAACCUUACCAGGUCUUGACAUCCUCUGCUAUUCCUAGA
rnacentral:rRNA from 1 species